AUUGAACGCUGGCGGCAGGCCUAACACAUGCAAGUCGAACGAGAGGCGGACGGGUGAGUAAUGAUUGUGAAACUGACUGAUGGAGGAGAAUAACUACUGGAAACGGUAGCUAAUACCGCACACAUUCCGAUAUGCCCCGAUGGGUUUAGCUUGGUGGUGGGGUAACGGCUCACCAAGGCGACGAGCCCUAGCUGGCCUGAGAGGAGGACCAGCCACACGGGAACUGAGACACGGUCCAGACUCCGACGGGAGGCGGCAUGGGGGAAUAUGGCACAAUGGGGGCAAGCCUGAUGCAGCCAUGCCGCGUGUAUGAAGAAGGCCUUCGGGUUGUAAAGUACUUUCAGCGGGGAGGCGUUACCCGCAGAAGAAGCACCGGCUAACUACGUGCCAGCAGCCGCGGUAAUAC
rnacentral:rRNA from 1 species